UCCUUUGCCAUAUCAAGGAAGGCCUGGAGCUCCAAAGCCUUUCGGUAAUACAUCAUGCCUCGCACUGUUUUGGUCAGUAUUUGGCUUCUGUAAGAUGCCCACAGAAAAACCUCUUCUUCCAAGUCUUCUCACGGUGACAGUUUUCACCAUCUUCACCAUCAGCCCUGGGAAGCACAUACCCCUUCUUCUUCUCCGACGGCUUCUCAAACGAUCCAUAGAUCCUGCUCAAAGCCGACUUAGUCCACACCACAAAUCACAGCGAUUGCAGACACGAUCUUCGUCGGAGCGUCAAACACGAUCUUGGUCUGGCGGAGAAUCGGAGAAGACGAGAAAAACAAAAGAAAAGAAAAAAGAAAAAUAAAUGCGUUUCCUCUGGUUUGCUGACACGUGGGGUAAAAAAACCCUUUAGUAAUCGGUCCUCAAAACCCUUUCUUAAGGAUCGAUAACAGCCUUUUAAUUUUGUUUUGAUUUAAUUAAAUCCUACAAUAACUUAAAAAUCCCUCUUAAGAAACCCUAUAAUCAUGCUCUAAGACUCUUCAUUGAUGCUUUUUCUGCAAACCCUAAUAUCUAUCUUUUUCUGCAUUUUGGUCUCUCCAAAUCCCGGUUGU